rnacentral:rRNA from 1 species
ACGUAGGGACCAAGCGUUGUUCGGAUUUACUGGGCGUAAAGGGCGCGUAGGCGGCCACCGCAAGUCACUUGUGAAAUCUCCGGGCUUAACCCGGAAAGGUCAACUGAUACUGCGGGGCUAGAGUGCAGAAGGGGCAACUGGAAUUCUCGGUGUAGCGGUGAAAUGCGUAGAUAUCGAGAGGAACACCUGCGGCGAAGGCGGGUUGCUGGGCUGACACUGACGCUGAGGCGCGAAAGCCAGGGGAGCGAACGGGA